UCCGACUUAGCUCAGCGGUAGAGCAAUCGGCUGUUAACCGAUUGGUCGUUGGUUCGAUCCCAACAGUCGGAGCCA
rnacentral:tRNA from 1 species